rnacentral:rRNA from 1 species
UACGUAGGGGGCUAGCGUUGUCCGGAUUUAUUGGGCGUAAAGAGCGUGUAGGCGGCCUGGUAGGUCUGCUGUGAAAACUCGAGGCUCAACCUCGAGAUGUCGGCGGAAACCAUCUGGCUAGAGUUCGGUAGGGGAGUGUGGAAUUCCUGGUGGAGCGGUGAAAUGCGCAGAUAUCAGGAGGAACACCCGUAGCGAAGGCGGCACUCUGGGCCGGAACUGACGCUGAGGAGCGAAAGCGUGGGGAGCGAACAGG